CCUACGGGUGUGCAGCAGUGGGGAAUAUUGCACAAUGGGGGGAACCCUGAUGCAGCGACGCCGCGUGGGUGAAGGAGUAUUUCGGUAUGUAACGCCCUAUCAUCAGGGCAGCACAAUUACGGUACCUGACUAAGAAGCACCGCCUAAAUACGUGCCAGCAGCCUCGGUAAUACUUAGGGUGCAAGCGUUAUCCGGAUUUACUGGGUGAAAAGGGAGCGCAGGCGGGCCGUUAAGCCUGGGGUGAAAUUCCGGGGGCCAACCGCGGGACUGCAUUGGGAACUGGCGCGCUGGAGUGCCGGAGGGGUAGGCGGAAUUCCUAGUGUAGCGGUGAAAUGCGUAGAUAUUAGGAGGAACACCAGUGGCGAAGGCGGCCUACUGGACGGUGACUGACGCUGAGGCUCGAAAGCGUGGGGAGCAAACAGGAUUAGAUACCCUUGUAGUC
rnacentral:rRNA from 1 species